rnacentral:lncRNA from 1 species
AAGUUAAGCUCUUUGAUUGAGGAUUGGGUAAGAGAUGGACUUGAAGACUUCGAGCACUUCCGGGUUCCCCUAGGUCUAUUAGACCACCAUCAACUCAUAGACCAAUAGAAGACUUAGACAUUUAUUCUUUUUAUUUUACGAGGUACAAAGCAAGAACCAAAAAGCAUUGAAGCGAAUCAAGCAAGAGAAAACCGGAAAAGGUUCUAGAUCUCCUGGAAAAAUUGGAAAACAUAGCCUACUUACUUGGCCUACUCAAGAGCCAGACAAAGAAGAAAAAGCAAGAGGUUUGAGUGAGACAGCAAGAACGUCAGCUCACCCAAGGACGAAGGAAGAGCUUUGAAAUCCUCAUCAAGUGAGACAGAAAGGGCAGCUACUUAAAUAAGAAAAGGAAUUGAACGAGUUCGAUCCAUUAGGUUCUUCUAUUUAUUCGGGUAAUUUAAUUAGUUGGGGAUAAAAUAGACUUCCCGCCAUAGCUUGCCUCAGGUGGAAUGGAAUUCUUAAGUCUUAGACCAUCCUUCAAUAACAU